rnacentral:tRNA from 1 species
GCCCAUUUGGCUCAGUGGAUAGAGCAUCAGCCUGUGGACUGAAGGGUCCUGGGUUUGAUUCCAGUCAAGGGCA